AUCCAGAUCUACUCUUCCUGUUUCAAUCAGUGGCUUGAUUGGUUCGAGACUCAACUACAACUUUAGUUUGCUCACAAGCCGACCUGACUAAUAUAGGCCUUUAUCCAUGUGUAAGAGGAGAAGUUUGGGGGAAAUGGCCAGUCUCCUCUGGAGCCCCCUUUUUGUUGCAGAGCACAACAAACUGACCCUGUUACACUGAAUGUCAUCACUGCCAGCAAGGUGGGAGUAGAAGUAGUCUACUGUGUCAUGCCUGAUAGCUGGUACCAAUUAUUCUCCUCCCAAGAGUGUGUACAGAGCUGGAUGUGGCUACUAUUUCAGACAUCACUGAGGUCAAAUCCCAAGAUGCUUUUGUCAGGACCACAUCUGCUGUUUCCGCACCUUCUCAUGUGGGGCUUCCCCGAAGGCUCCAGCAGGAGAGACACACCUGAGCUCACCAGCGCUAAAGUGGUGUCUUGAGGACGAGACCUGAAGAGCGGUGACAACUUCAAGCUGCUAUAUGAGCUGAUAAACGGAAGGCUGCAGGAGCGCUACAUUGCAGUUGGCAUCUCAGGAGCAGUUCAGCAUCUGGCUCGAAUGAAAAACAGUAAUGUGUUUUGGCCCAGAGAACACAUGCAACCCAUUGACAAGAAAACAUUGCAGCAGUACAUUUUGUAAAAGGAAGUGAAUACAAAAUAAAGAAAAUACACUGAAGCAACGGCUUUCACAAAUUAUACAUGCUUGGGGAAUGUAUUAUGUUCCAACUGAAAAACGUAUUCUUAGUAUACCUUCAGUUAAAUCACAUUUUGACUGAGGUCUAAAGUGUACAUUAAAAUAGUAACUGGAAAAAUAUUGCCUAUAUUUAUAAAGAACAAUUUGUUUAAUAAUACUUUUUGAAAGUCUGUUCAUUUGCGUUGUAAUUAUAUAUUUAUUUAUCUAUUUAUUACAUAUGCCUGGUCUCAGACCUGAACUUAGAUGGUCAAUUAAAGGUUAGGUCAUUAUUAAUAUUUAUUGUAGUCUGCAUUUUGCCAUAUGGGAUCACCAGUGUGUGCUCUGAGGAAUCAUGAUGAAAUGUGUGGACAGACUGGACCUGUUUGUAAGGUAUUGCUGCCCUCUUCUGGUGGGAGAUGAACUGACAGUGUAAUAUGGGUUUAUGUGGCCAUUAGUGUAAUAAACCUUUUAACAUGACAGUCUUAAUUUUAUAUUAAGACUGGAUGGUUAUAUGACUAUAAAUUAACUAUAAUUUGACUAUAAAGCAGUGAGUGAGAAACUUCUACAGUUGAACUGUAACGCUUUUACAAUUGGCAUACAAUAUAACAUACAGUAGUUAUGUGUGACUAUUCUACUCAGUCAGUCAUUUCUACCAUCAAGCAGAACUGAGGCUGUGGACAGAUUUCAAAGUGGAAAAAAGUGUAGAAUAGCCAAUAGAAACCUUUCAGCAACUUGAUCUACUUCCUCCUUCUCCAACCAUAUGCAAUACAAAUGUCAUGGGUAUAGUACGUCAAAGAAAAAAGUCAUAGUAUAGUAUAACAUAAAAAUAUCAUAAAAAUGUCAUAGUAUAGUAUGUCAUGAAAAAUGUC